GCAUAGCUACACAAGGUUUUAAAAAGUAUUUUAUUUAGAUUUUAAUAUUUUCAAUGACUUUGAUGUUUUCUUCACAGUAGGUUAGGUAAAUUAGACAUACCAAAUACUGUACACAGAAUAAAAUUUCAGAACAAAAACAAGUAAAAUAGAACUUUUGAAACAGAAGAGAUACCAUGACUUAAUAAGUUGGAUUAUUUCAGAAUAUUUCAGAAUUAUUUAUUUUCAUUACAAAGAGAAUAUUGCAAAGGUGAUUGAUGUGGGACCUUGUCUUUGAAUGCCCAAAAACCUGUGAACCGUGUAACCAGGUUUAUUGUCCACUACCUGGGCGGGUGCAUGCUGAUGUGCCAGCAUGCAAAAAGGGCUGGAAGAAAAGGUUUAAUUUGGGAAACAUAAAAAGUAGGCUGGAUCUUGAAAGAUGUUGGAAGCUUGAGAUAGACAGCUGAUGUGUUAAUGGUGCAUUCAGUCUCAAAAGCUAGUUUUUGAUGCAGGGGAUGUUGUAAAGAGAGCACCACAGUCUCCCCCUCCUGGACUGGAAGCAAAGACGGUUGACAUCCCAAUGAAGCUUCAAAUGGUGAGGGGGUUAGUGAGCAUACUUAACCCAAGGACGAUGAGGCCUUCAGGAGGAGGGAUUGAGUUAAAGCAUUACCUCUUGGGAUGGUGUGGACACAGAGGAUCAGGAUGGAGGGGGAGAGCUGAAGACUGGGAGAAGGUUCUGGAGCAAUACUGAAGCAGUACCAAGACACAUCUGUAAGCUGGAACCUCACACAGCAGACAAGAAGCAGCUUAAAAAACAAAUCUUCAAGGUGUGGGGAGGAACAAAACAAGAUGAAGCUGUAGUUAAACUUUGGAUCCAAGAUCUGUAAAUGAAACACAACUUCAGCGCACAUGGUACAAAGUGAUAUAAUGAGUGACCUAACACAAACAGGCUAACCUGAAAUGCAAAACUGAGCCAAAAGACAACAGGAACUCGAGUCUCUUGGUGUAAGCAAGUCUUAACCAAAUACUUUUCAUAUUCACCGGUAACAAAAAUAUUUAUUUAAUAUUUAUUUAUAGAAAUAUUUGUUUAACCAAAAAAACCAUUCCUGGAAGUCACAAAGCCCUCCUACAGCGUCUGUUUUUUCACUACAUCAAACUGCAUUUUCAAGCUUCUUCUGCUAUCUUACUUCCAGAUGAUAAAAAGGUCAAGCCAAUAAAACUUCAUCAUAAUUAAAUUAUCUUUCAACUAGUUUUUAGAACCUUUGACCUUUUUAGCACCUUUGCAGAUUGUGAAGAUCACAUAUUGAAACAAACAACAUAUUUCCAAGACUCUUACUUCAGCUUGGGUCAAAAUAGCCUCUGAGGGGCCUCUUACUUUAUUCUUCUUAACAGCUUCUUCCAGAAUGGCCUUUACUCUUCCCCGAGAGAGCGGCCAAUGAGGAGACUACAAUACUAAGUAUAACUACAACGAUGACCUGGACACGUCAAAGAAAAACUGGAUGUUAAAGUUUACUUUAAAAUGACUUUAACAGUCACAAAUUAAGCCAUUACCAUCGCUUAUUAAUUUCAUAUGAUGGUGUUACUUUUAUAUAGUAAAUGGAAAAGGGUCUGGGUAUUAUACAGUAUUCCUGUUCUACUGGAGCGUCAAAGUGCUUUAUACAACAUGUCUCAUUCACACGUUGACACAUAUUCAAACAAGCACUUUUUAUUUUCUACAACUAAAUGCUUUCUAUUGAACUUUAACACUUCAGAGGCCAACUUGGGGUUCAUUAACUUGCCCAAAGAUGCUUUGACAUCAAAACUUUGAGCUCAAACUACCAGCCUUCCAGUUACUGGAUGACCAGUUCGACCUCCUGAGUUAUAGCCACCACCAUACACGUUGAUUUUUUAAAUAUUAUUCAACCAUCUUGUUGCUGAUUGACUUCAGUGUAACUGACUUGUUGCAUCAUCCAACCUUCUUAAGCAUCAAGUCACCACCAGUUUCCCUGUAAAAUAUCUUGAUGCUACCUUGACAAUUAUAGUUUCUCUCAGUGAUUAAAAUGUCCUUAAGCCCUGAGAGAAGGAAUGAGAUGUGUUAAUGAGUUAAUGCUAAGAAGUUAGACAUUUAAGUUAGAAUUUCUAGUUAUUAGAUCAGUAAUAUACAUUGUACAAUCAUUCAAUUACAUAAAAUAAAAAUUGCCAAAAUAUCUGUUCAGGAGGAUGCUGAUGGCCAGUUGUGAAGGUGUCAUGAUUUUUCUGCUGUCCAUUUUGUGAAUAAAUUUCUUGACAUUUAAACCAAAAAA